CUGCUUACUUCAGUGGCAAAUAUCCUAAAACUGGAACAAUAAUCUGAUUAGUAUGGCCACUGCUCAAGAAUGAAAUGCAAAUUCGUGAAGCAUUCCAUAUUUUU
rnacentral:snRNA from 1 species